rnacentral:lncRNA from 1 species
CCAGAAGAUGAAGUGUUAUUUUAUUCAUCAGCCCAAUAAGAUCCAUGAAAUGAAUGCACAGAAGCAUUAACAAAUGUUACAUUGAAAACAUAAAAAUAGAAAUAAGCAGGAUACACUCUCUCACUUCUCGUGUAUAAUUAGAUUUACAAACACAUACAACCUUCCACUUAGUUCUCUUUCUCUCAUAUGUAUAUAUAUAUAUAUAUAUAUACACAUACAUAUAUACACAUAUAUAUAUAUACAUAAAUAUAUAUAUACAUAUAUUAUAAACAUUAUAUCAUAUUUAUAUAUAUUAUAUAUACAUACAUGCAUGCACGCAAACACAAAUAUACAUAUACAAAUAUUCACACAUACAUACAUACACACACGUACAUAUAUUUAUGUACAUAUAUAUGUGUGUAUGCAUUAUAAUUAAAUAUAUAUGUAGUAAUACAAGAGAACACAUUUCCAUGGUAGACAGAAACCAUCAUUCAUGGAUCUCACUGAUAUGAACCAGAGCUCCAUGUCCGAAAUCAUUGCUUACGUACUUCCAUGGUAGAAAAUUACAUUAAAUAAAAAUGUCACAAAAUAAAUACAUGACUUUUAUUAAAAAAUAUUCUGAUCCUCUCUUCAAUUUUUUUAAAAAUUCUUUUUCUUUGCUUUUUGGCAAAAAUGAAGGAAUAAUUUGCAAAUUAUCUUUAGCAAAUAAAUUAUAAUUAUUAUCCAAUAAGUAUAUAAUGUCAGCAUAUGUGGGCAAAAUUAGAUUGGUAAUUAGAAAUAAUUAACAUCCUCAUUACGAGUAUUCAUUGGAGAUGAGGAUGGUUAGCAUGCUAAUAAGUAGAGUAAAUGAUACCCAACUAUCACUUGCUUCUCCUACUUACUCAUUUAUUUUUGUAUUAAUUUUUAAAUAUCCACCAAUUUUCAAUUAAAUUUUUCUUUAAUAAAUUUUUACAAGAAACCAAAAAAAAAAAGAAAGAAAGUAAAAGAGACUUUUUUUUUAGACGUGGUUAAUUUGUCAAAUAAAUUUUAGCAAAAUAAAGGAUAAAAUAAGAACUAUUUCAUCAAAUAUUUACAAAUGUAUAAAUACAGAAGCAGCUCCUUCCAUAGGCAGAAGAGAGUUCAGACUUAAAUAUUUAUACACAUAUACAUAUAAUCAUACAUAUUCAAAUAAAUAAAGAAAAUGUAUAUAACUAAAUAAUAAAUGAAGUAUAUCACAUAUAUAUAUAUAUAUGCAUAUAUCUAAUACAGCUUUUUUCUUCUCUUUUGUUAGCAAUAUAUUGUUUAGCAAUUAGCAAAAUGAUAAAAGCAAGCAAGUAAAAGAAAAACAAAAUAAAUGAGUUAUUACAUUGGCACAAGGCCUCAGUUUUAUAGAGAGGCAGAGGAGAGAUGUAAUUAGAUGAAUCCAAUUAAUAUUUUAUCUUAUCAGUACAUAUUUUACUAACUUUGGAGAUCAGCAUGAAAUGUAAUGUUGACACCAGUAAAAUUCAUAUUCUGAUCAUUGAAAAACCAAGAUUAAAUACUGAAAAGGCUUUAAUCUACUGCUGUACUAUUUCUGCUACACCACUAUCCUGAUGAUAAUAGUAAUAACAUUAUUUUGAUAUGGGCGGGAGGUCAGAAAUUUGUGAGAAGGGGUUAGUCUGUUAUAACAGCACCCCAUACUAGACUGGUACUUUAUUUUAUGAAACACAGAAGGAUGAAAGCUGGUCUCAGCAGGAUUUGAACUCAGAAUGUAAAGAGCUUAAAUACUGCAAAACAUUUUGUUCAACAUUUUAAUGAUACUGCCCAUCUUCUGCCCCAGUAAAAAUAAUUGUUUCUAACAUAGAUAUAAGGCCAAAAAUUUGUUGGGGAGGAGAGUACAGUCAAUUAUAUUCUAGGACUCGACUGGUAUUGUAUUUUAUCAAUUCCAAAAGAAUGAAAGGCAAAGUUGAUUUUGGGAGAAUUUGAGCUCAGAAUCUAAAAGAGUAGGAACAAAUAAAUACAACAAGGUAUCUUGUCAGAUACUCUAAUGACUCUGCCAAUCUACUACCCUAGUAAUAAUAAUAAUAAUUAUAUGCUCAUUAUAAGAAAUAAAAUGUGGAAUACAUAAAAGCGAUGCUGGGUUAAAACUGCAACAAUUAACAAGGGAGAUUAAUUGUUCUGAUUAAUAGUAAUGGUUAACAGUUUUGGCUAGGUUUCAUGAUUUAAAUAACAAUUAUUAAUUUUACUUUUCUUUCAUUGGCAAAUGUAACUUUAAUUUUCAUCUAUUUUGGCUUAGCUGUAAAGACUUGUGAUAUGAAUGAUUAAACAGAAAUCAACAACAAUUUGCAAAUUAUAACAUUAUUUAUUAGUUUUCUUUUAUAGAGUUUGGAGUUUAAAAGAUAUGAGGGUGUAAGAUAUUAAAACAACAACAAACAAUGGAAAACAAAUAACCAUCACCAUUUUAAAAGUGAAUACAAAUACACACACACACACACACACACAAACAAACAAUAUAUAUAAAAACAAACUAUAAGAGGUAUUUGCUCCAACAUAGCCUUUAUAGCAGCCAUGGCUAAAACAAUCUAAUUUUCCUGAUUAAUGGUAAUAAUUAACAUGCAUUUGUAUGCACAUAUGCUUAUACACAUGUGCAUAUGUAUAUGCUUACACACAUAUGUACGUAAGUGCAUGUGAGUAACUGAGCGAGCAAAUGGAUACUUUGUAUAUUUCUCAGUAAAAAGGUCCUAACUCUAAAAUAUCCCAUUGAUCUAACAAUGAGAAAAGACAAACGUGGUCCCAAUGUCGCACAAACUGAAACUCAGAGCCAACAGAUUGUUUGCAGUAGGUGAUUAGAAAUUAGUAUCAGCUGAAAAUAUUUACCUGGUAUCCAUUUGUUGAAACAUUAUUAUUAUCAUUAUAAUUGCUAUCUAUAUAUCUUACUUAAGAAAUACUCUGUCAAUAGGCCAGUUACUGCAGUAUUUGUUCUAAGAUAAUACUUAUGGUUAGUGUUUAUACAUUAUGUAGGAUACAUAAAUGGCUAUUUUACUUAAAUACUGCCUCUAUUAUUUUAAUUAUUAUAAGUAAAUUAAUUAAUAUAUUCAUAUUGCUUAUAAAUUACAUUAGUUCAUUGCUAGUUAACAUUUCUUGUAAUAUUAGACUUACUAGUCAGUUAUUUCUUAUAAACGAUUUAAAAUAUAUAGGCAUUUGGACUAAACUGAAGAAUGUUGAACUAUUACAAAGUCUCUCAUACACUAUGUCUCUCUCCCAUACUCUCACACACACUCGUCUUAUAUACCACAUUCACACAUUAUACUCACAUGCAAACAAGUUUAACAAUCAUAGUUAGUGAUAAAACAGCUUGUAUUAGACCAGUUCACAUCACUGAAAACAAGUGUUAAUGGAGAGUAUUGUUCACCACAAUAUAAUUGACAUGUGUGAGUUUGUAGUAUCACUUUAAAAUUUUCCCAAGAAUGGCAUCUCAAAUGGGAUAUACUCUAUGUACACUACAUGAUAUAUGAAGUUUCACAUAGUGCCCUUAAUAACCUUAGAGAAAAUAAGAGUGGUGAUUUGUUAUACAUAAAGAUUACACACUUAUUGUUUCAAAUAUUUGUCACAAGGCCAGCAGUUUUAGAGGGAAGAGAUAAGCCUGUUACAUUGAACCCAGUGUUCAACUGGUACUAACUUUUACCAACUCUGUAAGGAUGAAAGACCAAGUCAACCUCAUUUAUAUUUGAACACAGAAUGUAAAGCUGGAAGAGGUUUUGGUUUUAAAUUUUGGCACAAGGCCAACAAUUUCAGGGUAGGGGAUAAGUCAAAUACAUUGACCCCAGUGCUCAACUGGUAUUUAUUUUAUAAACCCCAAAAGGACGAAAAGUAAAGUCGACCUUGGCAGAAUUUCAACUCAGAAUGUAAAAAUGGACAAAAUGCCACUUAGCAUUUUGCCCAGCUUGCUAACGGUUCUGCCAGCUUGCUGCCCUGAAAAAAGCUGGAAGAAAUAUUGCUAAGCAUUUCGUUUGGUCGGCUAAUGAUUCUGCCAUCUCGCUGCCUUGUGCACACAUAAUAGAAACCUAAUAUUCUACAUUAAUCACAUAUGACGUGAAAGAAAGAACCAAUUUCUAGCCUGUUGUAGGGAUUAGAAGGUUCAGUCAACACAUGCUUCAGGUAUUUUAUCUUUUCACUGUAACUAGAUUUCUCUUUACGCCACAUUCAUUUCAUUUACACAAACACACUCAAAGCUACCUAUAUGAAAAUAAUACACAUACAUAGAUGAGUAUGUCUUUUACACAUGUACAAAUAAUAUACAUACACACUUCAUACACUGCAACUACAGGGUUAAAAUUAACCUUCUUACAAUAUAAUAUAUAUAUCUCAUAAUUUAUAUUCUUUGAACAUGGGGGAUUUGAAGGAAAAUUUGUUCAUAAUUCAAUCAUUACAGUAACUAAUCAAGAUUAAAAAAAGAAAAAAAACUUUUACCAUGCAACAGUUCAAAAACAUCGUAGGUGUAUGUGCGGUGGGUGUAUGUAUAUAUAACAAAGGAAGAAGAAAAAGAUCAGCAAUAACAGAAGUCACUAACCACUGAAUCAAAACUUAUGAAAUAGAAAAAUAUGCAAUUUCCUCACCCCGACCAGUUUUAGAAACAUUUUAAUCUUCCCAUAUACUUUGUUAUAUUAAAAUGAAUUUCAUAAUAAAACAUAGCUUAAAACUUUGUACACUAUCUCAGCUGACACUGAGCGUGUGUGUGUAUAUAUAGAGAUACAUACAUAUCCAAUAUAUUAAGCAUAUAUAAGACAACAUAUAUACAUACAUGCACUUGUGUAUGUGUACAUAAAUUUAGGUGUGUGUGUAUGUGUACACCGACACACACACACAAAGACGUGCAUGUGUGUACAUACACACAUAUAAAACAUAUAUAAGAAAUACAUACAUGCAUUUGUAUCUAUAUGUAUACAUACACAUAUAUCUUAGCUAUGUAUUUAGUGGGAGAAUUCUAAGAUUCACGCAAGAUUUUACAUUAUUUUUAAUAUUAUUAUUUCUCUAUUAACAUUAUUAAUUUCCCAUUAGAGAGGGGAAAAAACCCCCAGAAAUGCUCUAGUAUCAUAAGUUAGCAACUGACAAAUAUCAUCCUUCAUCCAUAGAGCUUACAACAAUCAGAUUUCAGAACCAAAUACCACCUUUAGUUUAGUGCAGCUGCAAUCAUAUCAAUGUAUUUUUUUUUCUUUUUCUUUUUCUUUUUAAUGAAUAAAAAUUUGAUUCACAUUUUAUAUUUUAUUUUCUGAAUAACUAAAUUAAUGGUACCGGGCUCUCCAUCAAUAUUUUCCAAUAUCAUAAAUAUUACAAUUUUCCCCACCAAUAUUUUCCAGUAUCAGAAAUAUUACAACAAUUUCUUUAAGGACAAGCUUAUAUAACCAAAACAAUGUCAUUUAAUUCUCCUUUUCUCUCACUUUAAGUGUCAGUUACAUAUCCUUAUGUCUAGAAAAUAUAUGUUCUUCAUUAAAAAAAAAAAAUCAAAUCAAAUUAACAAGAACACAACAAAUAUUUCUGUUACCUCAAUUAAACUAAACCAGAAAUCAACUUUCAAAGAUUAUUUUCAGAUUUCGUUUCCUUUAUACAUAGUUACCGAAGAUAUUUAGCUGUGAGGUUUAUUCAGUCAGUUAUGACAAAAACUGGCUUGAAUACUUUAAAUAACAUAAAAGAUUUGUAGACUUUGUGCACACAUUCUUAGACCAGUAUAUGCAUUUUAUGUGCACUUCUGUCCAUAAGACUUCACACACACACACACACACACACACGUCUGUAUGAGUUAGAGGUUAAUAAACCAUCCAAGGGAUAUUAAAUAUCCAUUAUACUACUGGAUGUGUACCUACGUAUUUUUAACCUAGUGCUUACUAUUGCUUGGCAAUAUCGCAAUUGAAUACUAGGUAUGGGUGGGGUUAAAUUGGAAAUUUACCCAGGAUUUAUAAGACAAAUAAGAAAAUGGAGAGGAUAUAAAAUCAACAAACAUCAGCCUGUGAACAUCCCAUUAUAUCUAUUUAUUAAAUGAUAAUAAACAAGUGUUUAAGUGGUACAAGUAAACGAAUGAGAUCAGCCAAUAAAUAUGUAAACAGAUAUAUAGAAAGAGAGAGAUGAAUGAAUGAAUAAUAAUAAUAAUAGAGGAAUGUACAGAUACAAAUCACUUAUGACCAUUUCUACCAUGAGGCCUCAGUCAUCCUCAUCAUUCCAGUGGUAUACAGGGAUGAACAAACAUUGGACAGAAAUUGGGUAAUAGUUGAGCCUCAUGGCUUCUUCAUAGAGUACAAAUGUUAGGAAACUAACAUGUGGGAAAUUCAGUUAGAAUAAUAAAGUAGGGUAAAUAGGAUAAGAUAGAGUAAAAUAGGUAAAAAUUUUUAAAAUGAUGUAAUGUAAUAGACAUGGUAAAGAAAAGUAAGAACUUCAUUCUAAGAUGUUAUUAUAACCCAUGGUAUUCCAUCCUGUGGUAAGUAAGAAAAGUCACUCUCAGGAGACAUAUCCAUAGGCUGCGGUUUACAUCAAGUUUCCAUUAUACUGAGGGAAAUAAUGAAGGUAGUAUGCUAUGCGGUGGGUCUAAUGGUAUGGUCCAUACUACAUGGGUCAGGGGUUAGAGGUUAGACACUAAUAGAUAUAACAAUAUUAAAGGAGUUGACUGUAAUAACUUAAAUUGAACCUGUUAGGGGAAAAUUAAUACAUAAGUACAUUAAUGAAAGAAAAACUGGGUAAAACCUUAGUGCAAUGUUAAUAUUUGCAACUUAUUGGCCAAAAACUAAUCCCAAUACUCCUAUGCAUAGUACUUAUACCACUAAAACACAUGUUUGUUAUCAUUUAAUAAAUAGAUAUAAUGGUAUGUUUACUGGCUGAUGUUUGUCGAUUUUAUAUCCUCUCCAUUUUCUUAUUUGCCUAAUAUAUAUAUAUAUAUAUAUAUAUAUACAUACACACACACAUGUACAUGCAUACAUAUACACAUAUACUCACGUACAUGCACACAUAUACAUACACACACACGUGAGUAUAAACAAAUUCCAUGACUAUAUAACUUAUGUUAAGUGAAUGUAGUUCUAUUUGUAUGAUCAACAGAUUCAAAGACAGGAAGGCAAACAGACUUUGUAUGUGAGACAACACAAAGAAAUUAUUCACACAAAGAUUUACAUGAACGUUUAAAGAUUCUUUUUUUCUUUCCAUAUCUCUGUCUUUCGAAGUUCAUUUGCGUUUUUCUCCUUUUCAUUUUGCAUUAUAUUUUAAAAUUAAAAAAUAUAAACUAAUUGAGAAAAGUCAAAAUACUAUUUACUCCAAAAGCUGAGCAACAGUAAUAUUUCUGGUAGGGGAGACAACUCUGUAUAGGUGUGUAUGUGGCGUUUGAAAUAUUAAAAAAAAGAUUUUUAAAUAAAUGGUCUUAACGUUACUAUUUACACGCUUGCAUUCAAAAUCAUGAAUUAACAAACAAGACAUUAAUCCACUCUCCCACAAUGAAUCACACAUUACAUUCAAAUCAAAUACAUACAUCAUAUAUAUUUAUAUAUAUAUAUAUAUAUAUAUAUAUAUAUACACACACAUACACAUAUGCAAUAAACAUAAAUAAAGAUACAAAUCAUCAUCAUCAUCAUCAUUUAAUGUCUGUUUUCCAUGCUGGUAUGGAUCAAACAUAUGAGAAACACAUUUACACACAUAUCCACACAGAGAUAAAUAUAAAUAGAUGUUUUAAGAAGCUGGAAGCAGAAAUGGAUGACACCCAAAUCUAAAUUCAAUUGAUUUGUGGCACAAUUAAAAUAUUGAAAACUUUUCAAAAUUUCAGCAUUUAACUGAAGUUGUUGCAUGAGCAACAAAAGUCAUGUCACUUAGUUAAAGUUCAAUUAUUUUGUUGACUGAAUAAAAGUUGUACAUACACUCAACAUCCAUAUGCACACACUUAUAUUUGAUUCCACACGAUUUUCACAAAUUCACCUUCAAAAUAUCAGUUUCAAUUUACAUAAAAAUCUUAACUAUAAUACAAUUUAAUGUUUAUGUAUGUGUGUAUAUAUAUACACACAUAUAU